rnacentral:rRNA from 1 species
GGGUUGUGAGGUUAAGCGACUAAGCGUACACGGUGGAUGCCCUGGCAGUCAGAGGCGAUGAAGGGCGUGCUAAUCUGCGAUAAGCGCCGGUAAGGUGAUAUGAACCGUUAUAACCGGCGAUACCCGAAUGGGGAAACCCAGUGUGACUCGUCACACUAUCAUUAACUGAAUCCAUAGGUUAAUGAGGCGAACCGGGGGAACUGAAACAUCUAAGUACCCCGAGGAAAAGAAAUCAACCGAGAUUCCCCCAGUAGCGGCGAGCGAACGGGGAGGAGCCCAGAGCCUGAAUCAGCAUGUGUGUUAGUGGAAGCGUCUGGAAAGGCGCGCGAUACAGGGUGACAGCCCCGUACACAAAAGCGCAUGUGCUGUGAGCUCGAUGAGUAGGGCGGGACACGUGGUAUCCUGUCUGAAUAUGGGGGGACCAUCCUCCAAGGCUAAAUACUCCUGACUGACCGAUAGUGAACCAGUACCGUGAGGGAAAGGCGAAAAGAACCCCGGCGAGGGGAGUGAAAAAGAACCUGAAACCGUGUACGUACAAGCAGUGGGAGCACCCUUUUGGGUGUGACUGCGUACCUUUUGUAUAAUGGGUCAGCGACUUAUAUUCUGUAGCAAGGUUAACCGAAUAGGGGAGCCGGAGGGAAACCGAGUCUUAACCGGGCGUUAAGUUGCAGGGUAUAGACCCGAAACCCGGUGAUCUAGCCAUGGGCAGGUUGAAGGUUGGGUAACACUAACUGGAGGACCGAACCGACUAAUGUUGAAAAAUUAGCGGAUGACCUGUGGCUGGGGGUGAAAGGCCAAUCAAACCGGGAGAUAGCUGGUUCUCCCCGAAAGCUAUUUAGGUAGCGCCUCGUGAAUUCAUCUCCGGGGGUAGAGCACUGUUUCGGCUAGGGGGCCAUCCCGGCUUACCAACCCGAUGCAAACUGCGAAUACCGGAGAAUGUUAUCACGGGAGACACACGGCGGGUGCUAACGUCCGUCGUGAAGAGGGAAACAACCCAGACCGCCAGCUAAGGUCCCAAAGUCAUGGUUAAGUGGGAAACGAUGUGGGAAGGCCCAGACAGCCAGGAUGUUGGCUUAGAAGCAGCCAUCAUUUAAAGAAAGCGUAAUAGCUCACUGGUCGAGUCGGCCUGCGCGGAAGAUGUAACGGGGCUAAACCAUGCACCGAAGCUGCGGCAGCGACGCUGAUGCGUUGUUGGGUAGGGGAGCGUUCUGUAAGCCUGCGAAGGUGGCCUGUGAGGGUUGCUGGAGGUAUCAGAAGUGCGAAUGCUGACAUAAGUAACGAUAAAGCGGGUGAAAAGCCCGCUCGCCGGAAGACCAAGGGUUCCUGUCCAACGUUAAUCGGGGCAGGGUGAGUCGACCCCUAAGGCGAGGCCGAAAGGCGUAGUCGAUGGGAAACGGGUUAAUAUUCCCGUACUUGGUGUUACUGCGAAGGGGGGACGGAGAAGGCUAUGUUGGCCGGGCGACGGUUGUCCCGGUUUAAGCGUGUAGGUGUGUGUUCCAGGUAAAUCCGGUU